UACAGAGGUCCCAAGCGUUGUUCGGAUUUACUGGGCGUAAAGGGUGCGUAGGCGGUCGGAUAAGUCUGAUGUGAAAUCUCCGAGCUUAACUCGGAAAUGGCAUUGGAUACUAUUCGGCUGGAGAGUUGGAGGGGGGACUGGAAUACUUGGUGUAGCAGUGAAAUGCGUAGAUAUCAAGUGGGACACCAGUGGCGAAGGCGAGUCCCUGGACAACUUCUGACGCUGAGGCACGAAAGCUAGGGGAGCAAACAGG
rnacentral:rRNA from 1 species